GAUGAACGCUGGCGGCGUGCCUAACACAUGCAAGUCGAGCGAACAGACGAGGAGCUUGCUCCUUUGACGUUAGCGGCGGACGGGUGAGUAACACGUGGGUAACCUACCUAUAAGACUGGGAUAACUUCGGGAAACCGGAGCUAAUACCGGAUAAUAUUUCGAACCGCAUGGUUCGAUAGUGAAAGGUGGCUCUGCUAUCACUUAUAGAUGGACCUGCGCCGUAUUAGCUAGUUGGUAAGGUAACGGCUUACCAAGGCAACGAUACGUAGCCGACCUGAGAGGGUGAUCGGCCACACUGGAACUGAGACACGGUCCAGACUCCUACGGGAGGCAGCAGUAGGGAAUCUUCCGCAAUGGGCGAAAGCCUGACGGAGCAACGCCGCGUGAGUGAUGAAGGUCUUCGGAUCGUAAAACUCUGUUAUUAGGGAAGAACAAACGUGUAAGUAACUGUGCACGUCUUGACGGUACCUAAUCAGAAAGCCACGGCUAACUACGUG
rnacentral:rRNA from 1 species